rnacentral:rRNA from 1 species
UACGGAGGGUGCGAGCGUUAAUCGUAAUAACUGGGCGUAAAGGGCACGCAGUCGGGAUUUUAAGUGAGAUGUGAAAUCCCCGGGCGUAACCUGGGAAUAGCAUUUCAGACUGGGAGUCUAGAGUACUUUAGGGAGGGGUAGAAUUCCACGUGUAGCGGUGAAAUGCGUAGAGAUGGGGAGGAAUACCGAAGGCGAAGGCAGCCCCUUGGGAAUGUACUGACGCUCAUGGGCGAAAGAGUGGGGAGCAAACAGG